AUAAAACGAUGUUAGCACUGAGUCGCUCGCUAUUAUACUGCGAGCAGUCACCAACUAAACACGAUGGAGUAUUCGAUCUCUGCGAUGCUGAUGGCGGUGCUGGUCGCCAUCUUCGUGGGCGUAACUUCCGCUUACGAUUACGGUUACGACGACGGCUAUAGUUACGACGACUGGUACGCUGCUCCUGCCAAGCACUGAGCCCGACCCCGUCCAUGGAAGGAGGGAGGCACCAACAAGAGAGGCUUUGCCGGCGGCGGAGGGGAGACAGCGGCUCUUGAUAGACGACUGAGAUGCCAGAAGACACCAUCCAACGUAGAAAUAUACCGACUAGCGCGGCUGAGCGGAUGCACCGAACAUACAAAUAUACUUUGCACCACACAGAGGGACGAUGUAAUAAUCUAUAGCACGAACGAUGUUUGUCAAUAUACGUAGCAGCUAGCAGGUGC